UAGGCAUAAACAUGACCCUGACUACCUGUGUCUAUGGUUUAUCAAUCUGUACGUUCCCCCCCUCCGAUAGCAACAAGUUUGGGUAAGAGAACAAUCACCCGCCCAACGGUCAGGACUGGGAAAACCUGUUUCGGGAGCUCCCUGCCCUCCGCCACCUCUGCCAAUCAAAAAAUGGGGAGUCUCAAAAUACGUAUAGCCUAAACAAAGUGCCGGGGGUCCAAUGAGCCACUAGUACUUCUUUCAGGCCCAAAAUUCAAUGUCGUCAUUGUUAUCUUUUCGGGUAAACAGGUUGAAACAAUUUACUAUCACGUUUGAGUCACUUGUA
rnacentral:misc_RNA from 1 species